UGAGGAAUAUUGGUCAAUGGGGGAAACCCUGAACCAGCGACGCCGCGUGUAGGAUGAAGGAGCUUUGCUCUGUAAACUACUGUCGGAUGGGAAAAAAAGAAGCUUUAGGCUUCUGGGAUUGUACCAUCAAAGGAAGGAUCGGCUAACUACGUGCCAGCAGCCGCGGUAAUACGUAGGAUCCAAGCGUUGUCCGGAUUUACUGGGUGUAAAGGGUGCGCAGGCGGACUUGUGCGUCAGAGGUUAAAGACCACGGCUUAACUGUGGAAGUGCCUUUGAUACGGCAAGUCUUGAGUAUGAGAGAGGAUAGUAGAAUUCCUGGUGUAGCGGUGAAAUGCGUAGAUAUCAGGAGGAAUACCCGUGGCGAAGGCGGCUAUCUGGCUCAUUACUGACGCUCAGGCAC
rnacentral:rRNA from 1 species